GUCCUACGGGAGGCAGCAGUGGGGAAUAUUGCACAAUGGGGGAAACCCUGAUGCAGCGACGCCGCGUGAGUGAAGAAGUAUUUCGGUAUGUAAAGCUCUAUCAGCAGGGAAGAUAAUGACGGUACCUGACUAAGAAGCCCCGGCUAACUACGUGCCAGCAGCCGCGGUAAUACGUAGGGGGCAAGCGUUAUCCGGAUUUACUGGGUGUAAAGGGAGCGCAGGCGGUGCGGCAAGUCUGAUGUGAGAGCCCGGGGCGCACCCCCGGGACUGCAUUGGAAACUACCGAACUAGAGUGUCGGAGAGGG
rnacentral:rRNA from 1 species